GACUACAUAGCUUAGUGAUAAGAGCACUGGUCUUGUAAACCAGGGGUCAUGAGUUCAAAUCUCACUGGAGCCU
rnacentral:tRNA from 1 species